rnacentral:rRNA from 1 species
UGGGGAAUAUUGGACAAUGGGCGCAAGCCUGAUCCAGCCAUGCCGCGUGAGUGAUGAAGGCCCUAGGGUUGUAAAGCUCUUUCACCGGUGAAGAUAAUGACGGUAACCGGAGAAGAAGCCCCGGCUAACUCCGUGCCAGCAGCCGCGGUAAUACGAAGGGGGCUAGCGUUGUUCGGAUUUACUGGGCGUAAAGCGCACGUAGGCGGACUUUUAAGUCAGGGGUGAAAUCCCGGGGCUCAACCCCGGAACUGCCUUUGAUACUGGAAGUCUUGAGUAUGGUAGAGGUGAGUGGAAUUCCGAGUGUAGAGGUGAAAUUCGUAGAUAUGCGGAGGAACACCAGUGGCGAAGGCGGCUCACUGGACCAUUACUGACGCUGAGGUGCGAAAGCGUGGGGAGCAAACAGG